rnacentral:rRNA from 1 species
CGGAGGAAAAGAAACCAACUGGGAUUACCUUAGUAACGGCGAGUGAAGCGGUAAAAGCUCAAAUUUGAAAUCUGGUACUUUCAGUGCCCGAGUUGUAAUUUGUAGAAUUUGUCUUUGAUUAGGUCCUUGUCUAUGUUCCUUGGAACAGGACGUCAUAGAGGGUGAGAAUCCCGUUUGGCGAGGAUACCUUUUCUCUGUAAGACUUUUUCGAAGAGUCGAGUUGUUUGGGAAUGCAGCUCAAAGUGGGUGGUAAAUUCCAUCUAAAGCUAAAUAUUGGCGAGAGACCGAUAGCGAACAAGUACAGUGAUGGAAAGAUGAAAAGAACUUUGAAAAGAGAGUGAAAAAGUACGUGAAAUUGUUGAAAGGGAAGGGCAUUUGAUCAGACAUGGUGUUUUUUGCAUGCACUCGCCUCUCGUGGGCUUGGGCCUCUCAAAAAUUUCACUGGGCCAACAUCAAUUCUGGCAGCAGGAUAAAUCAUUAAGAAUGUAGCUACUUCGGUAGUGUUAUAGCUUUUUGGAAUACUGUUAGCCGGGAUUGAGGACUGCGCUUCGGCAAGGAUGUUGGCAUAAUGGUUAAAUGC